GUUUUCUCAAACCUUGGAGUUGUUAAAGAAGGAUUUCUCAACUACACAAAGCCAAUUGGAAACUUAUGCUUGGUUGGAGAGAAGGAUUAUCAACGUGCAAGUUGAUCAAGCAGAAAGCUCAGGGUUUUAAAUUAAAAGGGAAAUAUUUCAAAACUAUGUUUUAUGACAUUGCAUUUGGUUCUAUAUUUUGAAACUCAAACCGAACUUGUGUCCAAGUAUGUGUGUUACAAUCGAAAGUACACCUUGUGGAUAAUAUUCCUUUUCUUUUAAUGUAAAGGAUACGUUACAUCUUUUAAAUCUCCCUAAUUAAUUUAUGUGAACAUUGCUAAGUCAUUUAUGUAUGUGAAA